rnacentral:misc_RNA from 1 species
GAUGAAGAACGUAGUGAAAUGCGAUAAGUAAUGCGAAUUGCAGAAUUCCAGUGAGUCAUCGAAUCUUUGAACGCACAUUGCGCCCUUUGGUAUUCCGAAGGGCAUGCCUGUUCGAGCGUCAUUAUCACCCCUCAAGCCCUCGGCUUGGUGUUGGACGGUUUGGUGGAGGCCCCCUCGGGGGCUCCUGCCCCUCCCAAAGACAAUGACGGCGGCCUCGUUGGACCCCCGGUACACUGAGUUCUUCACGGGACACGUAUCGGACACAUGGGUUUACGGGACACGGUCUGCCUCCCCUCAGGGAGAAUCUUUCUAAGGUUGACCUCGGAUCAGGUAGGGAUACCCGCUGUACUUAAGCAUAUCAAUAAGCGGAGGA